rnacentral:sRNA from 1 species
UGAUACGGUGACUCACUCGCUUCUGAGCUA